rnacentral:rRNA from 1 species
GCUUUCGGGGAAGCUACCAUGCAAGUCGAGGGGCAGCAUGAUGUAGCAAUACAUUGAUGGCGACCGGCGCACGGGUGAGUAACACGUAUGUAACCUACCCUGUACAGGGGGAUAACCCGGAGAAAUUCGGACUAAUACCCCAUGAUUAUAUAGAUUGGCAUCGAUUUAUAUUUAAAGCUGAGGCGGUACGGGAUGGGCAUGCGGAACAUUAGCUGGUUGGUAGGGUAACGGCCUACCAAGGCUACGAUGUUUAGGGGUCCUGAGAGGGUGAUCCCCCACACUGGUACUGAGACACGGACCAGACUCCUACGGGAGGCAGCAGUGAGGAAUAUUGGUCAAUGGGCGCAAGCCUGAACCAGCCAUCCCGCGUGCAGGAAGACGGCCCUAUGGGUUGUAAACUGCUUUUCCAGGGGGUGAAUUAAUCCGACGUGUCGGGUUUUGACGGUACCCUGGGAAUAAGCAUCGGCUAACUCCGUGCCAGCAGCCGCGGUAAUACGGAGGAUGCGAGCGUUAUCCGGAUUUAUUGGGUUUAAAGGGUGCGUAGGCGGACAAAUAAGUCAGUGGUGAAAACCUGCAGCUUAACUGUAGACUUGCCGUUGAUACUGUUAGUCUUGAGUAUGGUCAAGGUAGGCGGAAUGUGUAAUGUAGCAGUGAAAUGCUUAGAUAUUACACAGAACACCGAUUGCGAAGGCAGCUUGCUGGGCCAUUACUGACGCUGAUGCACGAAAGCGUGGGGAUCGAACAGGAUUAGAUACCCUGGUAGUCCACGCCGUAAACGAUGAUCACUCGCUGUUGGCGAUACACAGUCAGCGGCUAAGCAAAAGCAUUAAGUGAUCCACCUGGGGAGUACGGCCGCAAGGCUGAAACUCAAAGGAAUUGACGG